rnacentral:misc_RNA from 1 species
CAUAUGAACAGGCAAUAUCAAUUAUUGGCCGGACUUUAUCUGCAUUCGAUGAAGAUAACUUAAUUCCAUGUUUUGGAUUUGGAGAUGCAUCCACUCAUGAUCAAGAUGUCUUCAGUUUCCAUCAAGACGAAAGAUUCUGUAAUGGAUUUGAGGAAGUGUUGACACGAUACAGAGAAAUUGUUCCCCAACUUAGACUUGCAGGACCGACAUCUUUUGCACCCAUCAUUGACAUGGC